GCGCUUUUUCCUUUUUCGGUCGGAGCGGGGUCGGCGAGUCGGCCGAUCGUUCUGCCCGAACGUUCUAGCCGAAAGUUGUAGAAGGAGUGUAACUCCCAUUUUCGCAAGCGCGUUCGACACACCGUCGGCGGUCAGUCCGACGACCCGCAGUAGAGCGUUAAGUCUGUGUUGGGACGUCGGGGGCUUGCAUUCCUUGGUGAGCACCGAACCAC
rnacentral:lncRNA from 1 species